CUCCGCGACCCAGUUGGCAGCUCACGUGUCCAACUCCACGUCCUCCGCGACCCACCUCGGCCUCGGCCUCUCUCUCCGCUUCAUACGCGGUUAAACUCUUCUCCUCGGCAUGCCCUAACUCCCUUCCCCUUGGAAUCUCUCGCUGCCUCCUUCCACUUCUCUCCGCGACGGCGUGCCCUAACUCUCUUCCCCUAAGCAGGCAGCCUCCUUCCUCUUCUCUCCGCGACAGCGUGCCCUAACUCUCUUCCCUGCUGCGACGGCGUGCCCUAACUCUCUUCCCCUCAGCAGGCAGCCUCCUUCCUCUUCUCUCCGCGAUGGCGUGCCCCUAACUCUCUUCCCCUCGGAAUCUCUCCGCGACGAAGAAGCAGCAGCCUCCUCCUUCCUCAUCUCUCCGUGACCAAGCAGCAGGCUGCCUCCUUCCUCAUCUCUCCGCGACCAAGCAGCAGCUCUGACAAAGGCGAGUGAGUUUUUGCCUAACCUAAUCAGAUUAGGGGUGCUGCUAAUUUCUGAAUCUUCGCUUGGGUGCUGCUAAUUUCUGAAUCUUGGCUUGUAGUUGUGCAUUGCAUCCCUCACCUCUUCCAUUCACAGCCAAGCAGCAACGAGGACAGACCAGGGUCUGAUUUCUAUUUUUUUUCAUGGCAUCAUCAAGUUUUAGUAGCAUCGACAAUACGAGAUUUCAACCUGUAACAUGUAGAGACUGCGGACGAAAUACAUUGGUGUGUAUUUCUAAAUCAACUAAGAAUCCUGGGAGACAGUAUUACAGAUGUGUGCAACAUGGAUGGCAACAGUGGGUGCCGACUGAUAAUAGUUCAACUGACAAAAGUGCAAUUGAAUGCAUUGCUUCUCAUGGACAUAAUCUGAGGAUAAUCAAUGUACCAAAAUUUAUCUGGAUAUUAGUGGGCUUGAACUUGAUUCUCUUAGCCAUAAUUCUGAUUUUGGUGUUAAGUUUAUUUAGAUAGGUUGUUUUAAAUUGUGUUGAUGUUGUAAUGUAACUGUUGUACGUUUGGAUUUAGAGACAUAAUGUUAGUGUUGAAAUUAUCAUUCCCCUUUUA